CAGCCGCCACGGUAAUACGAAGGGUGCAAGCGUUACUCGGAAUUACUGGGCGUAAAGCGUGCGUAGGUGGUGGUUUAAGUCCGUUGUGAAAGCCCUGGGCUCAACCUGGGAAUUGCAGUGGAUACUGGGUCACUAGAGUGUGGUAGAGGAUAGUGGAAUUUCCGGUGUAGCGGUGAAAUGCGUAGAGAUCGGGAGGAACAUCAGUGGCGAAGGCGGCCAUCUGGGACAACACUGACGCUGAGGCACGAAAGCGUGGGGAGCAAACAGGAUUAGAUACCCCGGUAGUCCCUGUCUCUUAUAC
rnacentral:rRNA from 1 species